rnacentral:rRNA from 1 species
UGGAUCCAGACUUUGAUCCUGGCUCAGGAUGAACGCUAGCGACAGGCCUAACACAUGCAAGUCGAGGGGCAGCGGAGAGGUAGCAAUACCUUUGCCGGCGACCGGCGCACGGGUGAGUAACACGUAUGCAAUCCACCUGUAACAGGGGGAUAACCCGGAGAAAUCCGGACUAAUACCCCAUAAUAUGGGCGCUCCGCAUGGAGAGCCCAUUAAAGAGAGCAAUUUUGGUUACAGGCGAGCAUGCGCUCCAUUAGCCAGUUGGCGGGGUAACGGCCCACCAAAGCGACGAUGGAUAGGGGUUCUGAGAGGAAGGUCCCCCACAUUGGAACUGAGACACGGUCCAAACUCCUACGGGAGGCAGCAGUGAGGAAUAUUGGUCAAUGGUCGGCAGACUGAACCAGCCAAGUCGCGUGAGGGAAGACGGCCCUACGGGUUGUAAACCUCUUUUGUCGGAGAGUAAAGUACGCUACGUGUAGCGUAUUGCAAGUAUCCGAAGAAAAAGCAUCGGCUAACUCCGUGCCAGCAGCCGCGGUAAUACGGAGGAUGCGAGCGUUAUCCGGAUUUAUUGGGUUUAAAGGGUGCGUAGGCGGCACGCCAAGUCAGCGGUGAAAUUUCCGGGCUCAACCCGGAGUGUGCCGUUGAAACUGGCGAGCUAGAGUACACAAGAGGCAGGCGGAAUGCGUGGUGUAGCGGUGAAAUGCAUAGAUAUCACGCAGAACCCCGAUUGCGAAGGCAGCCUGCUAGGGUGAAACAGACGCUGAGGCACGAAAGCGUGGGUAUCGAACAGGAUUAGAUACCCUGGUAGUCCACGCAGUAAACGAUGAAUACUAACUGUUUGCGAUACAAUGUAAGCGGUACAGCGAAAGCGUUAAGUAUUCCACCUGGGGAGUACGCCGGCAACGGUGCAACUCAAAUGAAUUGACGGA